rnacentral:tRNA from 1 species
GGCCCUAUCGUCUAGUGGUUAGGACGUCAGCUUUUCAGGCUGAAAACAGGGGUUCGACUCCCCUUAGGGCUGCCA